UAUACAUCAGUAUAGGAGUUGAAAGGUGGAUUUCUAUCACUUAAGGAUGGGCCUGCGGCGCAUUAGCUCGUUGGUAAGGUAACGGCUUACCAAGGCGACGAUGCGUAGCCGACCUGAGAGGGUGAUCGGCCACACUGGAACUGAGACACGGUCCAGACUCCUACGGGAGGCAGCAGUAGGGAAUCUUCCGCAAUGGGCGAAAGCCUGACGGAGCAACGCCGCGUGUGCGAAGAAGGUCUUCGGAUCGUAAAGCACUGUUGUUAAGGAAGAACGACAGUAAGAGUAACUGCUUACUGUGUGACGGUACUUAACCAGAAAGCCACGGCUAACUACGUGCCAGCAGCCGCGGUAAUACGUAGGUGGCAAGCGUUAUCCGGAAUUAUUGGGCGUAAAGCGCGCGUAGGCGGCGAGAUUAGUCUGAUGUGAAAGCCCCCGGCUCAACCGGGGAAGGUCAUUGGAAACUGUUUCGCUUGAGUGCAGAAGAGGAGAGUGGAAUUCCAUGUGUAGCGGUGAAAUGCGCAGAGAUAUGGAGGAACACCAGUGGCGAAGGCGGCUCUCUGGUCUGCAACUGACGCUGAUGUGCGAAAGCGUGGGGAUCAAACAGGAUUAGAUACCCUGGUAGUCCACGCCGUAAACGAUGAGUGCUAAGUGUUAGGGGGUUUCCGCCCCUUAGUGCUGCAGCAAACG
rnacentral:rRNA from 1 species